rnacentral:rRNA from 1 species
UGAUGGUGCUUGCACCUGAUUGAUGAGGUCGCCAACGAGUGGCGGACGGGUGAGUAACACGUAGGUAACCUGCCCAGAAGCGGGGGACAACAUUUGGAAACAGAUGCUAAUACCGCAUAACAACGUUGUUCGCAUGAACAACGCUUAAAAGAUGGCUUCUCGCUAUCACUUCUGGAUGGACCUGCGGUGCAUUAGCUUGUUGGUGGGGUAACGGCCUACCAAGGCGAUGAUGCAUAGCCGAGUUGAGUGACUGAUCGGCCACAAUGGGACUGAGACACGGCCCAUACUCCUACGGGAGGCAGCAGUAGGGAAUCUUCCACAAUGGGCGCAAGCCUGAUGGAGCAACACCGCGUGAGUGAAGAAGGGUUUCGGCUCGUAAAGCUCUGUUGUUAAAGAAGAACACGUAUGAGAGUAACUGUUCAUACGUUGACGGUAUUUAACCAGAAAGUCACGGCUAACUACGUGCCAGCAGCCGCGGUAAUACGUAGGUGGCAAGCGUUAUCCGGAUUUAUUGGGCGUAAAGAGAGUGCAGGCGGUUUUCUAAGUCUGAUGUGAAAGCCUUCGGCUUAACCGGAGAAGUGCAUCGGAAACUGGAUAACUUGAGUGCAGAAGAGGGUAGUGGAACUCCAUGUGUAGCGGUGGAAUGCGUAGAUAUAUGGGAAGAACACCAGUGGCGAAAGGCGGCUACCUGGUCUGCAACUGAC